GUGGUGGCAGCCUCGGAGCCUCGCUGCCGAUCUGUGCUUUCUCCUUCUCCUCCUUUGCCCAGUCUCAGCAGAGGCUGACUCAUUUCAUUAGUUUCCCAAGAAUGGAAUUUUAUCUUUGUUGAGACUUUUUGUUACGUUUGUUUUCCAUUAAUUUCACUUCUACUCUUCUUGUCUUUCUUCUACUUCCUUUGUGUUUAUUUUCGUGAAUUUUUCUACCUUCAUGAGAAGGAUGCUUUGUUUACUGGUUUCCCCUUAAGUAUUGUUUCAUCUGGGCCGGCACCGCGGCUCACUAGGCUAAUCCUCCGCCUGCGGCGCCGGCACCGCAGGUUCUAGUCCCGGUCGGGGCACCGGAUUCUGUCCCGGUUGCCCUCUUCCAGUCCAGCUCUCCGCUGUGGCCUGGGAAGGCAGUGGAGGAUGGCCCAGGUCCUUGGGCCCUGCACCCCAUGGGAGACCAGGAUAAGUACCUGGCUCCUGGCUUCGGAUCAGCACGGUGCGCUGGCCGCAGCGCGCUGGCUACAGUGGCCAUUGGGGGGUGAACCAACGGUAAAGCAAGACCUUUCUCUCUUUCUCUCUCUCUCACUGUCUACUCUACCUGUCAAAAAAAAAAAAAAAGUAUUGUUUCAUCUGUAUCCCACACAUGUUGCUAUGUAAUACUUCUAUUAGUUUUUCAGCAAGUUUUGUCUGGUUUGACCAUAAGUUCCUUGGUCUAUAUAUUUCUGAAUUUCCACUCCUCUGGGAAUUUUCUAGUUAUCAUCCUACUCUUGAGUUCAAGCAUAAUUGCAUUGUGAUCAGAAAAACCAGCUGCGUGAGCUGAAUCUUGUGGAAGACUGGAAGCUUGCAUUACAGCCUGCAUGUCUGUCUCCUCAGCUCCUCUGAGCCAGGACCAUGGGCCAAUGAUGUCUCUGCCCAUUGUAUUCAGGUGCUCACAGUAGGAAGGAGAGCUGAAAAUGGUGAGGAAGGGAAGGGGCAGGGUGUUUCCUGGCUGGCUUUAUUCGAAUAGCUGGUGAGUUUUUGCGGGCCAGUACUUGUCAAUGCAGGUGAAACAUCUGGCUGGAAUGUCUGCCUCGUGCUGUGCCCAAGUGAUGACGAGAUCAGGGUGGAGAAGUCAGCUCAGGCUCCAUGCACGUGCCCAAGCCGACGGCAGGGACUCAGGUCAUUCUGGAAUCCUGUGACCUCCGCUCCCUAGAGAAAGUCGGAAUAAAGGAGGGAAGGAAAACAUUUGCCCUGGUGAAAGUGAUUACAGACGUUAAGAGAGAAUGCUUAUGGAGAACACAGUAAAAAUCUGACAGGUAUAUAGGCACGUCUAUGUGACACUCGCACCUUUCUCCUCCAUCCUCUUCACCAAAGCCCUGACCAACAGGUAGACAUACUAUUAGCCCCACUUUACAGAUGAGGAAAGUGAGAUUUGUGGAGGUUAAAUGACUUGCAUGGCCACACAUAGCUGUAAAUAGGCAAUGGCAAAAAUUGAAUCUCAGCUGUUGGCAUUAACCCACAAGCCUUAAACCAUUCUAUCUCCUGUGAAUUUCAGCACCUUCUCUCUGUAGCUUUUGCAGGAAAACAACUGAAAAAUGGCAGAACAAUAGUAGUUGUUGGGAGGAUUUAACUUCAGCUGUGUUACUAAUUAUUUAUAUAAUCCCAGCAGGGUCACUAAACCUCCAUGAGCCUUAUUUCACUAACCUGUAAAAUGGUAAUAAAACUCUAUGUCUUGCUAUCACUCAGGAUUAUAUUGAAGAGGUUCACAUGGAGAUUUAAAUGAAAGAAAGAUCUAAAUGUGUCAUGAUUAAGGUGGUUGUUGUAGGAGGUGAUAUUGUCUAGGAAAAAGGGCAUUGGCCACAGUCUGGGGCUGGGCUUGAAUUUGUCACUCUAGCGAAAUCCUUUGACUCUCAAGUAUUUCAUAUAUAAAAUGGGGAUUCUGCAGCCUGCCAUAGUUUUGAAUAAGGAACAUACACUUUAGAAUUCAAGUGUGGUGGUUGACAGUGUUCAACUCAAGCAAGAGCACCUCUUACCUAAAA